CUUGCUCGAGGCUUUUUCCGAACCAGUUCUUUGUUGAAAAAAGACAGGCUUUCAUGGAGACUGUGCUUAGUGAUGGCAGUGAGCAUGCACAAAUAGGGAGGGUUACUGAGACGUGAUAGAUACACAACAAAACAUACACACAACAAAAAGAAACUGAUACUGUAUAGCAAAGCCUUCUUCCUGACAGAGUCUAUAUUUCUACAGCAGAAUUUAAAUGCAAACUUUGGAAAAUUAUCUCACAAUUCACUAAAUCCUACCAAACCCACAUAAGCAUUGCCUAUAAAAUAGAUUUAGCUGUUUUAUAAAUCAUAAAGCAUCAUGUUUCCGCUCUUACCGAGAUAACGCAAGUGUAGAUGGGCUAUUUUUAUUGAUUUUUUCCCCCUGAUGUCCUAGGUUCACUGUAGUUGGAACUGCUCAAAGCAGCCCUUACCCCAAUUAGUCUUAAUUCUUGUGACACUUCUGAGUAAGACAAAAGGAAAUUAGCAACAUCUGUUCGACCAGAGGAUAUAACCCAGGACCGCUCUUGUUUCAAUGAAACCCGUAUCUUGGGUCAAUUCUAGUCAACUCUGGAGCUUCUUAUUUCGCUUUGCAAGUGUCUUCAGAGCUUCCUGCUCUUUUCUUCCCUCUCCUCCCUUCCCUCACCAACUGGGUAAUCUAUAUGAUUAUUAUUUUUUCUUCAAUGUUUCUCCCCGAUGAUUUAAGGACAUAGGAGGAAUAGAACCCUGUCCUAACACCAUGUAACCAGGAAAACUAUCACUCCCAGGAACUGAGUCCUGCUUCCCAUUAUCCAGUGCCUAAGGAGGGUCCUUGUUGAAAAAGUCACCCGUCUGAAAAAUCAACAUUCACUGGUUGGUAAAUCCUUCUUUUAUGCACUGAAACCUGCCUGGACUAGGCCUGACUUUUAUCCCUUUGGACAUUCCUCACUGUCAUAACAGCCCUGCCCUUGAGCAAACCAGCUAUAGGAAAACACAUUUACUUUAGGUAUUAUACAAACCCAAUGAUCUCUCCCUUCCCACCCACGGCUCACGCUACUGACAACUUGGCAGAUCUAAAGAUGCUCACAUUAUGAUCAAACCUAAAGAACUAUUUUAUUCUGCACUGUAUCCCCCCCAAAAUAUACAGAGUUAAUGUACACAAAGAAGGAUAAAGAUAGUCACGCUGGUAUAAAAUAUGUUUACUGACAACAACCAGCAAAGAACAAGACUCAGAGUUGCUUUUUUUUCUUCUUAGAAACACUGCUUGAGUUAAGCAACUUCCAACUAGUUCUGCGGCAUUAGUCAGACCUCCAAGCUUAAAUUUUUGCAUUGUUUGGUACUUUCCAUUCCUGUGAAGGUAAACAUAGCCAUUAAUCCAACAUCUUGGCAACAGCAAUGUUUUGUUGUGAAAAAGUUGAUCUCCAGGGCUGGGGUAAAUACAUGAGCACAUAGGAAAUUUUGAUAUACGGUGUUUGUGAGAAUGGAUAAAUAAUGUUCUUGAAGCAUAUUUGAUUGAAUGUUUAUUCUGUAAAUCACCCUAACCACUUACAUAAGAAGCUAAGAAUUAUGUAAAAAUAUUUUUCUAAGACAGAUAUAUCUGAGUAUAAGCCAAAUAGCUAAGCCAAUUCUUGUUUUUUAAAAGGAAAAGAAAGCAAAAAAGUAGGUCGGGAUGCUUUCUUAUAAACUUCAGUUUUAUAAGCUCUGAACUCUAGUAAUAUUAAUUAUUAAUAAUUCUUUAAGUGAUUUUAUGUGGCAUAAGCUUAAUUCAUAAUAUAAUUGUGUUUUUAAUGAUUCCUAGGGUUUAUCAGAGAAGAAAAAGUAAGAUCUAAUAAUAUAUAAUUCCAUAUGCUGAUUUUCUACUAUAACAUUUUAAAUAUGUUUUAGAGGAAAUAUACAAACAUAUAGCAUUAUAUAUAUAUAUAAAACUAUACAUAUGGAAAAGCAUAGAUUAUAUAUAGAUGUUAAAUUAUAAAAGAUUUGUCAUAUCUGUACUUCAUUUCUUUCUUGCUGCUAUGUUGUAAAGAUUUAGCUAGGAUGACCACUAAAGUGAGCCAGUGGAGGACUGUCUGAUGAACAGAGAAAGAAGAAACAAUUUCAGGAUAACUACUUAAUGUGUCAGUUUUUCUGGGUCCAUAAAGUGAAGAAUGAAAAAAUGUUCUCAGUAUCACUAACAACUAAAAUGUUCAAAAAAUACGGAAUCUCCCUAAUGGAAACUUAAUGUGCUAAUUUCCUUCUGAUGAGACUAAAUUGGCAUGUAUCUGACUAAAGUUCUUCAAUAUGAAACAGCCGUUUCUCAAACCAUGUCUUAAUCUAUUUUUCCUAAUGUGUUAAUAAAGGUCAGACUAGAGAGCUGAUUGUUUUAGAAUAAGCGGGAGAAAUUGUGACUCGAACCUGAGUCAUCUAAGUUUCCUGGCUUUUUGACCUAACGUAGAUUAUAUUUUGUAUUGUGGUGGAUAAUGAAUUUGUGGAAACUCAACAAUACUCACUCGGGAUAAUUUGUAUUUAUAUGAAAAGGAUUUGAGGAAACAAACUAUGCUCUAUAGUUAUCACACAAAAUUCACUUGGUUCUUUGAUGCACUAUAUAUAUAUAUAUAUACACAUAUGGAGUGGCCACCAUGAUGCCAUGAUUCCCAGUCCACUAAAAUGAUGCUAAAUAUUGAUGACUGAAGACAAGAAACAAACAGAAUAGAAAAAUAAAGAACCAUUUUCCUUUCCUCAUUGGUUGAUUUCUAGUUUGGGGUUCUGUAGUCUGAACCCAGUAAGGAGGUAGUAGACUGUGGGACCAGAUGUACAUAACUUCUUCAUUCUGAACUCCUCCUGGUCCUAGUUAUAAAAGGAGGACUGUGUCUGUGUAGCUUCUAAGAUUCCUUCUAAUGUAACACUGAAUUACUAUGUUAUACUAUUAUGGUACCAAAGACAUAUAAUUCCUAUCGAAUCAUCAGAAGCAAAGAAGAUGGAUUUUUCCAACAUGUGAAAAUUUAACACUUUAAAAGAAAAGACUAACUCCUGGCAAAAUUUUGCCAAAAUUAAAACACUGAAAAGAGGAAGAACAAAUAUAAAGGGAGAAUCAAAUGGGAGAUAUCCCUAACAAAACAAUGAGAAUAAACAGAAUAGAAAGCAUGAAAGGAGCUAUUGCUGCAAAGCAAAUCUUGGUUAUGUGGCUGGAGAGUUUACAGUAAGUCAAAGAGGUCAAAGACAGAACCCCUGAGAAUGAGACAUAAACUGGUAUAUGUUGUAAACUUAAAACACAUAUAAUUAUCAUUUUGAAUCCAGACUUUUCUAGCACAACAUUAAAGUAUAAGAAAAAAAAUCAAUAUCUAAAGGAUGUUCAGGGGAAAAAUAUUUAAUAUAUUCUAAACAAGCACAGCAUUCACAUACAAAGAAAACAAAAACAAGGCAUUUUAGAAUAUAAAAGCAUUUUAAAUUGUAUAGCCUUUUUGAUGAGUCUAUCCGAAAAUGGAAUCAAGCUAAAAAAUGAAUUAAAAUACAUAUGAAUCAACAGGUCAAAGAAUGAAAAGAUUAGAAGAGUAUUCUGCAUCCAGAUAAACAUAUAGUUAAAUUCUAAAAAUUCUAACAACUGGCUGUAAAACAGAACGUAAGUGUUUAAAUUAUAGGAAUAAAACUCAAUACUUUGAAAAAUAAGAGAGGGGCAAAAAUAUCCCAGAGUGUGCCCCAAAUUGGAAGAAGUGGCCAGACAAGGAAAGGUGAAGCAGUCCUUAAUCUUCCACAGUAGGGAAUCAAAGGACGUUGUUUACUCUUUGUGGCCAACAACUAGAAAAAAACUAUGCAAUACAAAGAUACAGAGAUAAUCACUUUUAGAAAAGAACAGUGAAUAUAGACUAUAUUCCUUCCAUAUUAGCAAAAAUAGAAGAGAAAGAAUAGCAAAAACAAUUAAAACAAGGGAUGUACCUGUUACAUAACAAAAAAGAAAUGUUUAGACUUAAACACUUGAAGCAAACCAAAAUAGCUGAUGACAGUAAAUGAAAAUUUCACCAAACAGGGCAUCCUGAAAAUUCUAGAAGAAAUAAAACAAGCUGUGAAAGAGUAAUAACCAGAUCAGCUUCGUAUUUUUUAUCAGUAAAAGUAGAUGCCAAAAAUGGAAACACCUUCAAAAAUUAUAGGGAAAUCCAGAAUCCAGAAUUCUAAACACCUGUGAUAGAUUGUAUAGUGAACAAAAAAUAUUCACUCCGGCCUCAUAAUAGGAUUCUACAUCCCUGUCUGUCGACUUAUGAUUUUCCUAAGACUAUAUUGCCAUGGCACUGACCACAGAUUUUGACCGGGGAGAUGUGCUUUGGCAAUUGAGAUGUGAAUGGACAGGGUAUUAACCAGAUCUGCGUCAGAUGCUUUAAAUGUUACUGCAUCAUUUGAUUUGACAUCACCCUUGCAUCCCUGCCCUUGGCUGUGAGAAUCCAUAAGCUAGACAGGGGCUACUCUACCAGCCUGCGGCUCUGAUACAGAAGACUGCGAGCUGCUGAGCCAAGCUGAGCCACACUGACUCAAGCAAAGCUGAAGCUCAUCCACAGCCCUCAGACAAUGUGAGCCAGAAAUAAAUCCAUGCUGCUCUAAGUCACUGAGAUUUUGAGACUGUUUCUUACCAUAGCAAAACUGAAAAUACAGAUAUAAAAAGGACUCUCAUCCCCCAAAGGAGACAUUUAUUGUAUUCUAAACAUUCAUUUCCCCUUUGUUCUAAUAUUAGCACAGAGAUUUUCAUCUGGGAACUACUCCUUUUCCAAGCUCCAUGUAAGUGGUUUGGGUGAUUCCAGGCACAGGUACCAACUCCAUGAGGGGUUGAUUCAGUCAGAAGUAGGUACAUGUCCCCCUUCAGCCAUGAGACAUGCUCAGUGGCUUUUACACAGUGGCAUGAUUACUAUCGAGACAAGCUUUCUCUGGACUUAAGCCUGGACUAAUGUCAGUCCAGAUUUUUCAGGGGCCAUCCUGGGAAGACAGACUGUUUUAAAAAGUCCACACAUGAAGGUAAAAUUGAGGCUGAGGUAUGAUGACAUUAUUAAGAUGUUGAACACAACUGUCAUAUUCCUGGACUUUUCUUAAAUGAAUAAUUCUCCUUUUUGCCUUAGACAAUUUUAGUUAAUUUUUACUUAUAGC
rnacentral:lncRNA from 1 species